rnacentral:rRNA from 1 species
AUUGAACGCUGGCGGCAGGCUUAACACAUGCAAGUCGAGCGGGGGAAGGUAGCUUGCUACCGGACCUAGCGGCGGACGGGUGAGUAAUGCUUAGGAAUCUGCCUAUUAGUGGGGGACAACAUCUCGAAAGGGAUGCUAAUACCGCAUACGUCCUACGGGAGAAAGCAGGGGAUCUUCGGACCUUGCGCUAAUAGAUGAGACUAAGUCGGAUUAGCUAGUUGGUGGGGUAAAGGCCUACCAAGGCGACGAUCUGUAGCGGGUCUGAGAGGAUAAUCCGCCACACUGGGACUGAGACACGGCCCAGACUCCUACGGGAGGCAGCAGUGGGGAAUAUUGGACAAUGGGGGGAACCCUGAUCCAGCCAUGCCGCGUGUGUGAAGAAGGCCUUAUGGUUGUAAAGCACUUUAAGCGAGGAGGAGGCUACUCUAGUUAAUACCUAGGGAUAGUGGACGUUACUCGCAGAAUAAGCACCGGCUAACUCUGUGCCAGCCGCCGCGGUAAAAC